rnacentral:rRNA from 1 species
GAUGAACGCUGGCGGCGUGCCUAAUACAUGCAAGUCGAGCGAACAGACGUGGAGCUUGCUCCUCUGACGUUAGCGGCGGACGGGUGAGUAACACGUGGAUAACCUACCUAUAAGACUGGGAUAACUUCGGGAAACCGGAGCUAAUACCGGAUAAUAUAUUGAACCGCAUGGUUCAAUAGUGAAAGACGGUUUUGCUGUCACUUAUAGAUGGAUCCGCGCCGCAUUAGCUAGUUGGUAAGGUAACGGCUUACCAAGGCAACGAUGCGUAGCCGACCUGAGAGGGUGAUCGGCCACACUGGAACUGAGACACGGUCCAGACUCCUACGGGAGGCAGCAGUAGGGAAUCUUCCGCAAUGGGCGAAAGCCGGACGGAGCAACGCCGCGUGAGUGAUGAAGGUCUUCGGAUCGUAAAACUCUGUUAUUAGGGAAGAACAAAUGUGUAAGUAACUAUGCACGUCUUGACGGUACCUAAUCAGAAAGCCACGGCUAACUACGUG